AGAGUUUGAUCUGGCUCAGGAUGAACGCUGGCGGCGUGCCUAACACAUGCAAGUCGAACGAUGAAACCGCCCUCGGGCGGACAUGAAGUGGCGAACGGGUGAGUAACACGUGACCAACCUGCCCCUUGCUCCGGGACAACCUUGGGAAACCGAGGCUAAUACCGGAUACUCCUCGCCCCCCUCCUGGGGGGCCCGGGAAAGCCCAGACGGCAAGGGAUGGGGUCGCGGCCCAUUAGGUAGUAGGCGGGGUAACGGCCCACCUAGCCCGCGAUGGGUAGCCGGGUUGAGAGACCGACCGGCCACAUUGGGACUGAGAUACGGCCCAGACUCCUACGGGAGGCAGCAGUGGGGAAUUUUGCGCAAUGGGGGAAACCCUGACGCAGCAACGCCGCGUGCGGGACGACGGCCUUCGGGUUGUAAACCGCUUUCAGCAGGGAAGAAAUUCGACGGUACCUGCAGAAGAAGCUCCGGCUAACUACGUGCCAGCAGCCGCGGU
rnacentral:rRNA from 1 species